GAUGAAGAACGUAGCGAAUUGCGAUAAGUAAUGUGAAUUGCAGAUUUUCAGUGAAUCAUCGAAUCUUUGAACGCACCUUGCGCUCCUUGGUAUUCCGAGGAGCAUGCCUGUUUGAGUGUCAUGAAACUCUCACCCUCUAGCUUUCUUAAUCGUGGCUAGCGGCGUGGACGUGAGCGCUGCUGCUUUGUUGCGGCUCGCUCGAAAUGUAUUAGCAGACCCUUUUCGUAAUCGGUUCCACUCAACGUGAUAAGUAUUUCGUUGAGGACAGUUGCAGCAAUGCGGCUGGCCGGGAUAAGAAAGGCAUAGUUGUCAGCUUCUAAUCGCCCUUGGGCAAUUUUUUAUGAUCUGGCCUCAAAUCAGGUAGGACUACCCGCUGAACUUAAGCAUAUCAAUAAGCGGAGGA
rnacentral:misc_RNA from 1 species